rnacentral:rRNA from 1 species
CCUGGCUCACGUACGAACGCUGGCGGCGCGCCUAACACAUGCAAGUCGAACGAGAGAGAGGGAGCUUGCUUCCUUGAUCGAGUGGCGAACGGGUGAGUAACGCGUGAGGAACCUGCCUCAAAGAGGGGGACAACAGUUGGAAACGACUGCUAAUACCGCAUAAGCCCACGACCCGGCAUCGGGAAGAGGGAAAAGGAGCAAUCCGCUUUGAGAUGGCCUCGCGUCCGAUUAGCUAGUUGGUGAGGUAACGGCCCACCAAGGCGACGAUCGGUAGCCGGACUGAGAGGUUGAACGGCCACAUUGGGACUGAGACACGGCCCAGACUCCUACGGGAGGCAGCAGUGGGGAAUAUUGCACAAUGGGGGAAACCCUGAUGCAGCGACGCCGCGUGGAGGAAGAAGGUCUUCGGAUUGUAAACUCCUGUUGUUGAGGAAGAUAAUGACGGUACUCAACAAGGAAGUGACGGCUAACUACGUGCCAGCAGCCGCGGUAAAACGUAGGUCACAAGCGUUGUCCGGAAUUACUGGGUGUAAAGGGAGCGCAGGCGGGCGAUCAAGUUGGAAGUGAAAUCCAUGGGCUCAACCCAUGAACUGCUUUCAAAACUGGUCGUCUUGAGUAGUGCAGAGGUAGGCGGAAUUCCCGGUGUAGCGGUGGAAUGCGUAGAUAUCGGGAGGAACACCAGUGGCGAAGGCGGCCUACUGGGCACCAACUGACGCUGAGGCUCGAAAGUGUGGGUAGCAAACAGGAUUAGAUACCCUGGUAGUCCACACCGUAAACGAUGAUUACUAGGUGUUGGGAGAUUGACCCUCUCAGUGCCGCAGUUAACACAAUAAGUAAUCCACCUGGGGAGUACGACCGCAAGGUUGAAACUCAAAGGAAUUGACGGGGGCCCGCACAAGCAGUGGAGUAUGUGGUUUAAUUCGACGCAACGCGAAGAACCUUACCAAGUCUUGACAUCCUCUGACGAACGUAGAAAUACGUUUUCUCUUCGAGCAGAGAGACAGGUGGUGCAUGGUUGUCGUCAGCUCGUGUCGUGAGAUGUUGGGUUAAGUCCCGCAACGAGCGCAACCCUUAUGGUCAGUUACUACGCAAGAGGACUCUGGCCAGACUGCCGUUGACAAAACGGAGGAAGGUGGGGAUGACGUCAAAUCAUCAUGCCCUUUAUGACUUGGGCUACACACGUACUACAAUGGCGUUAAACAAAGAGAAGCAAGACCGCGAGGUGGAGCAAAACUCAGAAACAACGUCCCAGUUCGGACUGCAGGCUGCAACUCGCCUGCACGAAGUCGGGAUUGCUAGUAAUCGUGGAUCAGCAUGCCACGGUGAAUACGCUCCCGGGCCUUGUACACACCGCCCG